UACGUAGGGUGCGAGCGUUAAUCGGAAUUACUGGGCGUAAAGCGUGCGCAGGCGGUUGUGCAAGACAGAUGUGAAAUCCCCGGGCUUAACCUGGGAACUGCAUUUGUGACUGCACGGCUAGAGUGUGUCAGAGGGGGUAGAAUUCCACGUGUAGCAGUGAAAUGCGUAGAUAUGUGGAGGAAUACCGAUGGCGAAGGCAGCCCCCUGGGAUAACACUGACGCUCAUGCACGAAAGCGUGGGGAGCAAACAGG
rnacentral:rRNA from 1 species